CCCAGGUAAAUCUGAAACAGGCUUCCUCCUCAUCACCGCAUGCUCAAAGAGUGACCUACCUCCAGAGGAAACUCCAACCAACUCUGGACGAUGCAUCAGUUCCAGAGCCACCCUUUGCAACACUGCCAGGAUGGGCCAGAGCAUCACCUACACUGAUGUCUGAUUCUCUAAGGCCCACCCAAGAUGGAGCACAACCCCCCGGGUGCAGAAAGCAGAUGCCUCAUACUUGAUUGGAUUCAGUUCAAGAUGGGACUCAAAGUCACACACAUGCCAGUGGCAGUGGGAGGAUGGCACCCUGCAGUUUGUAAGGUCGUACUGAGCUCCUUCCUUGAAAAUUUAUGCACCUGCCUGAUCACAAGCACCGGGUUGUGGGAAGCUUCCUGUCAGCUCACUGCAGCACAGGCUGUACUGGGUGCUCUGGCUUGGGCACUUGUGCAGGGUCAGACAGGACGACGCUGAGGCUGGAGCCAGGCGGGCAGGGCCAUGUGGUGCAGGGACAGCCUGGGGUCCUGAUGUGGCCUGUGUCAAUGCAGGCCUGGGAGCAAGACACCCCAUGGUACUUUUGGAACAAUAAAAAGGGCAAGAAUACAGAGAUGAGGCUUGUCCUAUGAGAAACACCAUUGGGUCUGCGAGAAGUUGGCCUGCCGCCCCAAGGGAACCACAGGGACUGACCACAGGGUAUGAAGGCAUGAGGGUCCCAUGACUAGAAGAGCACAUGUCCACAGUAUAGCAGCUCCAGGGGCUCAUGUUCACUACCCACCUUGUCAGCUGGACCCUGCACCCAGCACACAUGGGGCUGGCGCUAGGGCUAGCUCUGUGGCAGGCCAGUCGGGGGAGCUCCUGCGUUGAGCCUCCCACCUCACCACUCCACACCUGUCCACCUGCUGGACUCCACGUGUCUCCCCAGAGUCACCUAAGCCCUGGCAGACCCCCUUUCGAGCCCCACCGCAGAGUCCGGGGUAAAGUGCUGCCACCACCCCGAGAGGGGACCUUCUAGGUCCUGUGUCCAGGAAACACAGGCCUAAUAGUCCUACGGGUACUCGACCCAAUCCAAGCACUUGGGGCUCCUCCCCAAGUCGGGGGCCAAAAAGGAUAGUCUCCCUUAGUCUGCAGACCUAAGUGGCCUCCUAGGCAUAAUUAAACCCACCCCUCAAUAAGUCUCCUACACCAGUCAUAAAGGAGAACUGUAUUGGUUACAAAGGGUAGAGUUAGACUAGGUUAAGAGGUUGAGCACUAUCAAGGGAUUACCAUUGAGCAAAACAGUCUGGCUGAGGUAGUCGUUUGAUAUGCAAAUGCAUCACUGGGAGCUGACGAACUCUCUAGAAACACUUACAAGUAUCAUCCAGAAGAUGGUAGAGAUCUGGCUCAGAGAUUUCCAGAGAGAGCGUCUCAGUUGGAUCAGACUCUCUCCCUGUGUCCUGAUGCUUGGGCCAUGCUGGUAAAAUGGCUUCUCCACCCUUCUUCUGGGCCAGGCCCUUAUAUCGCCUUUCUGACCUUGGCAGCCCAGUCCAAGAGAAGCCAGCAGUGUUGGCAACUAGCCAACCAAUUUAAAAAGCAUCACUGGUCACCUGGGCAGAGGAACAGGGGCUUUUCCCUCCCCCACUCAGGUGACCAGAGGGACCACACCUCGGUACCAGGCUUUUGUCACAUAGGCGGGGAGGAAAAUCCCCCUCCAUCAGGAAUUUGCCCCCAGUGUCCCAAGCUGACCAGGACAGGUUUUUGGAGAGAGACACAGAUGGUGGCAUUUCUGCCACAAGCUCUGCCUUCCCUGCUCACCCUGCCUCUACCCUUCACCUUGUGGCUCCAGGGACCAGAUCCCACCUGCACCAGAGCAAUUCCCUCCCAGCCCCAAGGACUCAGCAACACCUGCUCCCUGAACUGUCUGUCAGACAGGGCCUAGCAAGGGCAUUACCAGAUGUUCCCAGGACCCGAGAUAGAUGCCAGACCCCAUAGGCCUGGAGCAGUCAGACACAGCAGCAUCUCUGACCUGCCCCAGCACACACCAGUGUGGAGGGGCCUCAGGGUCCCCCUCUUUCCCCAGCAGUGAGUUCAGGACAGUGGUGACGUGGAGCUGGCAGAUGUCUGUGCAUGGCCACCUGUCCAAUUGGGCACCUGGACAGGGUGUCUUUCUGGACUCUGCUCCCCUCCACCAGCCUGGUCACAGUCCUACACCAUUUCAUGUCCCCUGCAGCCUGGCUCCAGCAGCUCCGUGCACACAUCCAGGUCCUUAAUAAACAUGGUGCCCAGCCCCUGGACCAGAACAAAGCUCUGUGGGACUCCACUGGGAACUGCCUGCUAUUUGGACAUAGAUCUGUUUAUAAUGACCUGUCCACAACUGGGAAAGGUGCAACUUGCCACUGCCUAGUGACAAGACCUGGGGGUGCGUGUGCAGCCCAGGUGACUUUCCCAAAACAGUGGGAGAUAGUCAUCGCAGCCUGUGCUUUCCUGACCUGGGCCCAGCUCAGCCAACGCCUGCGGGCAGCUCCCUGUCCUACGGGUUUUUGCUUCUGGGAUCUCGCUUCCUGGAAGGAAAAAGCCCAUCAGACCUGAUCCACCUGGAGCUCCUGGGGGCUGGAGUCAGGACAGGGAUGGUGGGAAGAGCCGUGCCCUGGAGUUCCAGUCUUGGUACCCAAGGGGCCAUGGGCUUAUCCUGCCCUGAGCCUGAACUGGGGGGGACUUAGAGGGGUCUCAGAAAAUGUCCAUCAAUCCACAGCCUCCUCAUGUUUACAGCAGCCCCAGCCAUGCCUGAAGCUUCCCAGGCCUAGGCUGACCCAGCACAACCCCCUGGAUACUUUUGGGCCCCCAUCAUCCCAGCCAGCCCCUGCCAGGGUUGCCUGUGCCAGGGAGGGCAGGGCCUUUUCCUGCCCCACAUCCAGCCAAGCUUCAUGGCUCCACACUGUGGUCAAAACCAUUUCUGCUUCUAAGUGAUGCCGCAGCACUUCCUUUGCUCUCUCCAGCAGCCCCACACUGCAGAGCCGCCUGUACUGGGAGCUGCUUUGUGACCCACUGCCAGGAUGUAUGAGGCCCUGCAGUUCUCCAAGGCCUCCCCGGGACAGAGCAUGGACCCCCCUGGUGCAGGGACAGGUCUCAUUUACAUCCGAGAUGGAACCAGAUGACCAUUCAUUUACAUGAGAGAUGGAAAACAGAAAGCCUGAAGCAGAAACUGCAGUGAAUUCUGGGACCAGAGAAGCAGGAGAGCGCUGCAUGAUGGGGAAUCUGUGCUUCCAAUGUUAAUCAACCCAUGUUCACACACACCCAGCUCAGCAUUUAUCAUCCCAGUUCCAAUCUGGAUUUGCUAAGGACUCCCCCCCCCAGACACACACACACACACACAGCUCUAAGUUUAAUAGGCAUCUCGGGCCGUACAUUCCCCGGUCCCACUAUGGGAGGCCUAUUUAAACUUGAUUGACUAAAACUCGGUUGCCGGGUUAGGGAAUGCUGAGGCAAGAGACCGAGUCCGAGGGGGUACGGGCAACAUUUGAACAAUGGUUAAGGGUUCAUCACAGCAUCCAGCCUGCUGGAGCCCUAAUCCCAUGUGUUGUCAUAUCUUUCCCGAGACGACUGGUGGGAGUCCUCUCCACAAAAGGUUAUGAGCACCCCAAUAAUUGCUUUAGAUCUGGAAAAGUCAUGCUAAGCUGAGGCUUGUGCACAACAAGUAAAAAUCCAAAAUCCUGAUGCUGCAAGCUAUCUAUUGUUCCUGAAGAAACCAUGAGAUAUCCCAUCAGGAUAUCUGUCAUCCAUAGGAAUCUCAAGCUGGCUCCCAAGUAUUUGGGUUACUCCCUAAUCUUAAGUGUUUCCUGAUUAUCAAUCAGUUUCCUGAGAUGGUCCAAACCAGAUAACCCCUUGUCAAUAGAAAAGACAAUGAUUUACACUACUGAGGGUGCUUCAAAGCAGCUGAACUGAGGGUAUAAAAAUCUGUAAGUGUGUGUGCUUAAAAAAAAGAAGAAAGAGAAAGAAAAGGAAGAAGCAGGAGGAAAGAGGGAGAAAAGGAAAGAAGAAGAAAACUCCUGUGCUGACGCCAUCCCCUGUCAUUCUUGGGACGCUGGAAGAACAGAUUAUCUCCCUUCAAGGAUUGUGCUACGGACUGUGCCUGUCAGCUUUGCAGCCUGGGUACCGUGGACUCGGUGAGAUCCCAGCGUUCUCUCUCGUCUGUCUAGGCAUAAACUUCUGAACCUGCACUGUAUUAGUUAAGCUUGAGCUAAGUUUCCCCAAAUACUUAGUGAAACCAGAAUAUUAUUGUCAUUGUUUGUGUUUGUUUUUCUUUUGCAUGGCUAUUACUACUAGUACUAUUAUAUAUUUCAUAUGCUUAGCAAUAAAUAACUUUUAUAGGCAAACUGGUAGUAAUUGGGUAUAUUUUUCCUUCUCUGCUUCUUUUUCCUCCCGUGCU